rnacentral:rRNA from 1 species
AUUGAACGCUGGCGGCAUGCUUUACACAUGCAAGUCGAACGGUAACAGGCCGCAAGGUGCUGACGAGUGGCGAACGGGUGAGUAAUGCAUCGGAACGUGCCCAGUCGUGGGGGAUAACUACUCGAAAGAGUAGCUAAUACCGCAUACGAUCUAUGGAUGAAAGCGGGGGACCGUAAGGCCUCGCGCGAUUGGAGCGGCCGAUGUCAGAUUAGGUAGUUGGUGGGGUAAAGGCUCACCAAGCCAACGAUCUGUAGCUGGUCUGAGAGGACUACCAGCCAAAAUGUUGAUGCGGGCCCACCCGCAUCCCAAGGAGUCGCAGGAUAGAGAAAUAUGGGACAAAGUGCGGAAGCGUAGCCGAGAAAAGGCGCGUGCAGCAAUAGGGCCGUCGGGUUGUAAAGUUCUUUUGUGCGGAACGAAUCGGCUCUGGUGAACACCCCCUAAUAAUGAAGGUCCCGUACGAUAGAGCACUGCCUAGCUACGC